AGGGGGGGGGGGGGAAGGA
rnacentral:miRNA from 1 species